rnacentral:rRNA from 1 species
GACGAACGCUGGCGGCGUGCCUAAUACAUGCAAGUCGAGCGAGGACUUCGGUCCUAGCGGCGGACGGGUGAGUAACGCGUGGGAACGUGCCCCUUGGUACGGAAUAGCCCCGGGAAACUGGGAGUAAUACCGUAUGAGCUCUACGGAGGAAAGAUUUAUCGCCAAGGGAUCGGCCCGCGUUGGAUUAGGUAGUUGGUGGGGUAAUGGCCUACCAAGCCGACGAUCCAUAGCUGGUUUGAGAGGAUGAUCAGCCACACUGGGACUGAGACACGGCCCAGACUCCUACGGGAGGCAGCAGUGGGGAAUCUUAGACAAUGGGCGCAAGCCUGAUCUAGCCAUGCCGCGUGAGCGAUGAAGGCCUUAGGGUUGUAAAGCUCUUUCAGCUGGGAAGAUAAUGACUGUACCAGCAGAAGAAGCCCCGGCUAACUCCGUGCCAGCAGCCGCAGUAA